UACGGAGGGGGCUAGCGUUGUUCGGAAUUACUGGGCGUAAAGCGCACGUAGGCGGCUUGGUAAGUUAGAGGUGAAAGCCUGGGGCUCAACCCCAGAAUUGCCUUUAAGACUGCUGGGCUUGAACGUCGGAGAGGUGAGUGGAAUUCCGAGUGUAGAGGUGAAAUUCGUAGAUAUUCGGAAGAACACCAGUGGCGAAGGCGGCUCACUGGACGACUGUUGACGCUGAGGUGCGAAAGCGUGGGGAGCAAACAGG
rnacentral:rRNA from 1 species